ACCCACGUGGCGAAAUUGGUAGACGUGCUAUCUUGAGGGGGUAGUGUCCUAUGGAUGUGCUGGUUCGAAUCCAGUCGUGGGUA
rnacentral:tRNA from 1 species